AUUUCUCUCUAGAGGUCUCUUCCUGGUGAAGCUUUCCCCUGUGGACCUGGAGCCUUCAGAUAUGGAACUCCACUGUGUGUUGCUGAGGCUAGAGUCAAAGUUUUCCGGUCACCAAGCUGCAGAGCAGCCUAUGUCUCUAGAACUUCACCAAGACUUCUCCCAAAGCGACCUACAACUAUUUCUGAGUAAGGAGGCUGCUGUUGUUUUAAGUUAAAGCAUGGAAUAGUUCAGUUCAAUGCUGCUGCUUUCUUCAGUACAGAAAAUGACAACUGAAAAAAGCAAUGGGAAAAGCAAAGGGGAGAAAAUGCUCAAAGCACAGAAAACAAAGUAAGAAAUGUAGAAUAAAGAUGAAGAAUUUGUGUUUCAGUGAAA